GGCGGGGCCUGCGGGCGGCCAUUAAUCCAGGUUUCUCAACCUCAGCCCAGUUACCAUUUCAUCCUCAUUGGUGAGUUUGGAAAAUAGGCUUCCCUUUCAGAACUGACCACUUGGUGUUGGAUAACCCAAGGAGAGGGCUCGUCUCUGGGGAAGACUGACUCUCUUUCAGCAGCCAUCGAGUGCCUUGAGCUCUUCCUCUAGGGGUGGGGCCCUGUAAGGUUUUCCCGUGCCUCCUUGGCAUGUCGGGUAGUGUUGUCAUAGUCCAGACCUGGUUUAGGCAACCAUGCUGUUGACAUUUCGUUGAUGCAGCUUCCCUGUCCUGUAGAGAAGACACAGCCUCUCAGCAGAUGUUCCGGUUUCCAAGUUAAACGUGUCUCAACCUUCGGCAUGAGUCUGUGAGAAUUGGAGUCAUUGGUCGUGAGAAUAAAGCAGGUCCAGUUUUAUCACA